AUUUUAAUGAAUAUUGAAUUAUUCACUGGCUGUGAUUGUUUAAUUUGGGGUUUAUGAAUCAUGUUUGGUCUGAUACAAAUAUGCUCUAGAAGAUUUUGAUGUCAAACCUUAGUCCUAGAGAUUAUUGUGAUUAGAUUUUUCUCAUUUGUUGAUAUUAAGCUAUAAUUGGCCUGAGAUUCAAAACAAUGAUGCAUUCUAAUCAAGAAGAGGCAGUGCCAUGAGCUCUUCUAAUGUCAGAAAUGAAUAUUCAACGGUGAUUUGUAGACGAACUUUUAUUAAAUCAAAACUGCUUAGUCUACACGCUUGACGUAAAUGUCGACAACUGGACAUAACGUUUGUUGCAAAGAUGUGUAGAAGAAAGAACAUGUUAACUUGGAACAAUCAAUUAAAGGAUAACUAGAUUUUAGCCGAUCGAGUUACUUGGAUCAUACCCUUCCUCCUCCAAGUAGUCAUAAAGGGAGGGGGAUACCCCUCCAUUUAGCAACAUAGUGAAUCUAUAGUAUGAUAGUUUGAUUAUUUUCCAAAUUCUGAGCAAUAGCAAAUCACUUAUAUAUUGCAUGACCUUGGGAAGGGAAAUAUGAAGCUGGUAAGAUCAGAUCAUUAUAUGGGGGUGCACAUGCCAACUUAUCAUUAUAACACAGUUCAAUAAAAAUUAUUUAAUAUGAGAUGACUGAGAGCUUGAUCAUGUUUUAAUGAAUAUUGAAUUAUUCACUGGUUGUGAUUGUUUGAUUUGGGGUUUAAAAUUUGGGAUUUAGAUUCUCUAUUGUUCAAAAGUGAUGAUUUUAAAACAAUCGUGUAAUUCGGGACUAUGGAUGAUUAAUACAUCGGAUUCAAAAUAUUAAUUUGAAAUGUGGGUUGGUUCAAGUUGAGUUCAUUGUUUAAAGAUUUGGGAUUUUGGUUCUAAGUAGCUGAAAUAUGUGGGCAAAGUUCAGAAUUCAGAUUUCGUUUGUUGUUAAAGAUUUCGAUAUUUGAUUCUAUGUAGUUGAAAAAUAAAAUAUUUACCCCAUCAAGCUAUUCAUAACUUUUGAUAGACUAAUAAACUAGAUUCCGAAUUCAAAACUAAAAUUGGGCAUUGUUUAGUUGAAGAUCCUUGAAUUACUGUUCAUGAUUUGUGAGUGUGGCAUCCUUGAAAGAUUGGUAUACAAGAACAAGAACCAACAUUGCCGCUGUUCCUAUUUCCAGCAUCUUAUGAAGGGGAUUGCACAAAGAAAUGCAAGAAAUCGGAAAAAGCAAAAAAACCCUUAUAUACUAGGAACUAAGUUGCUUGUGAGGAAAAGAGAUGAGUUGGUAUGGUUUUUUGGUUAUAAGUUCUUUUUGGUUCUGGUUUUGUUCUUUAGCUUACAGAUCUAUUUCCCAAAGAAAGCAAUAAUUUGAACAAUUCUUUAGGGUCUGUUUAGUUUUUUAUUUUUUAUUUGAGAGGAGGUGAGGAGAAGGGAGGAAAGUCAAAUCCCUCCUAAUCUAAUUUUAUCUCUCCUCCAAUCCUCAAAUUUUUUCGAUCUCGACUCAGCGAAGUUUAAGUAUAUUUUCUUUAUUUUGUCUUUUGUUUCAUUAGCUUCUACCAUGGAAUUGUUAGACAACUUAUGUUUGGUGGUUUUGAUGAACUAUGCGUUUGGACUUUAUCUCAGUGCACAACUUAUGUUAAACAGAUUUACUUUGUACUUGCAUAAUCUUAAUGAAGAGUUACUUUAUCGGCAAGGUUAUUUGCACCACAGUAUAUUAAGUGCAUUUUUUGAAUGAUCUCCGGCUUUCCUGAAUUGUUAUCUAUCACCACAAUUAUGACGAGCUAUAUUUUGAAACUUAAGUUCCAAAGAUUUGUUAGAGAAAUCACGAAGGAUUUCAAAACAGAUCUCCGAUUUUAGAGUAGUACUGUUUCUGCUCUUCAAGAAGCCAGUGUAGCUUAUCUUGUUGGUUUUUUUUAAGAUAAUAAUAUAUGUUGUAUUCAUGUGAACUGCUAAGAUAUUUAUCAGUUAUUACUGUUCCUAAGGUUAUCAGUUAUGCAGGUUAAGCUAUUAGUCUAUUGUGACAAUGCUAUUAGUCUAUUAUUGUAUACUAGGAACUAAGCCUUUUGAUUGAUUAUAUAUCUAAUUGAACAAGUAAUUAUUAUAUAUGCUUACAUAGUUAAUACCUUUUAAAAUGGAGACUACCUGACUUUAAUAUCUUUUUUUUUUUCUAUAUAAUUUUGCUUCUAUUUAAGCUUAUAGGGUGAUGGCUAUCUAGCUUGUGAAGUUUGUGUUUCGGCCUACAUAUUGUUUUUGUUUUCUUACUGUAGUAUUAUUUGGUAUAAAGUUUCAUGUUGUAUUGUUUUCCGAUUUGAUAAAGUUUCGAAAGUUGGAGAGGUUCUGGUUUGAUUAACUCACACACGAGCUGCUGCUUUAAGUGAAACUGGACAGUUUCCACCAAAACUAUUGAAGGAGGUCGUAUGAGAAGAAAUUAUGUGCUCUGUUAAUUUCGAAGACAAUGAACCUUCAAGUUUUUUUGAUUGGCAGACAUCUGAAACAUCUUUUCAACCUUUGAUUUCUCAAGAUUAAGGCAACUUCAUAAAUGAUGCAGCCAAGAAAGGUAGUGAUUCCAAACUUCUGAAUGCGCCAAAGGAUCCGAAUAUUCCUCAUAUAGAUGCGGAUAUUGAAGAUCCUCAACUAUACAACUUCUAUGGCUUUUAGAGGUCUCUAUUUGUAGCUGCAUGCUCUGUUUUGUUUCAAUCCUCCGACCGGUACAGCUUGUUCAGGCGAAGAGUAUUAGUAAAGUUUUAAUGGUUUUCUUUAGCAGAAUGCUUUCGAUGUAAUGAACAAAAAUGUAAAUAGAUAUUUGAAGUUAUUUAAAAUGCUAAUACAUGAUUCUAAUCUUAUCA